GUGUGUGUGUGUGUGUGUGUGUGUGUGUGUGUGUGUGUGUGUGUAUAUAUAUAUAUAUGCGUACACACACACACUCACAGACACAUUCAGACAC
rnacentral:miRNA from 1 species